rnacentral:rRNA from 1 species
AUUGAACGCUGGCGGCAGGCCUAACACAUGCAAGUCGAACGAGUGGCGGACGGGUGAGUAAUGUCUGGGAAACUGCCUGCUGGAGGGGGAUAACUACUGGAAACGGUAGCUAAUACCGCAUACCAUCAGAUGUGCCCAGAUGGGUUUAGCUAGUUGGUGGGGUAACGGAUCUCCAAGUCGACGAUCCCUAGCUGGUCUGAGAGGAUGACCAGCCACACUGGCACGGCGACACAGUCACGACUCCUACGGGAGGCAGCAGUGGAGAAGAUUGCACAAUGGGCGCAAGCCUGAUGCAGCCAUGCCGCGUGUAUGGAGAAGGCCUGCGGGUUGUAAAGUACUUUCAGCGGGGCGGCGUUACCCGCAGAAGAAGCACCGGCUAACUCCGUGCCAGCCGCCGCGGUAAUUC